rnacentral:rRNA from 1 species
AUUGAACGCUGGCGGCAGGCCUAGCACAUGCAAGUCGAACGGGAACAGGAAGCAGCUUGCUGCUUCGCUGACGAGUGGCGGACGGGUGAGUAAUGUCUGGGAAACUGCCUGAUGGAGGGGGAUAACUACUGGAAACGGUAGCUAAUACCGCAUAACGUCGCAAGACCAAAGAGGGGGACCUUCGGGCCUCUUGCCAUCGGAUGUGCCCAGAUGGGAUUAGCUAGUAGGUGGGGUAACGGCUCACCUAGGCGACGAUCCCUAGCUGGUCUGAGAGGAUGACCAGCCACACUGGAACUGAGACACGGUCCAGACUCCUACGGGAGGCAGCAGUGGGGAAUAUUGCACAAUGGGCGCAAGCCUGAUGCAGCCAUGCCGCGUGUAUGAAGAAGGCCUUCGGGUUGUAAAGUACUUUCAGCGGGGAGGAAGGCGAUAAGGUUAAUAACCUUGUCGAUUGACGUUACCCGCAGAAGAAGCACCGGCUAACUCCGUGCCAGCCGCCGCCGUAA